rnacentral:rRNA from 1 species
CGCGCAGGCGGUCGUAUAAGUCGAAUGUGAAAGCCCCUGGCUCAACUAGGGAGAGUCAUUCGAUACUGUUCGACUCGAAGGCAGGAGAGGGAAGUGGAAUUCCGGGUGUAGUGGUGAAAUGCGUAGAUAUCCGGAGGAACACCAGUGGCGAAGGCGACUUUCUGGCCUGUUCUUGACGCUGAGGCGCGAAAGCUAGGGGAGCAAACG